rnacentral:tRNA from 1 species
GCCUCGCUAGCUCAGUCAGUAGAGCAUGGAACUCUUGAUCUCAGGUUGUGAGUUUGAAUCCCACGCUGGGUG